GGAGAGAUGUCCGAGCGGUUGAAGGAGCACGACUGGAAAUCGUGUAGGCGGUCACAAGCUGUCUCGGGGGUUCAAAUCCCCCUCUCUCCGCCA
rnacentral:tRNA from 1 species